rnacentral:ncRNA from 1 species
ACAGUUUUGGUCCUGGGCUAACCGUUGUUUUUUAUUAAGUUUAUACAUGCAAGUUUCAACACACCAGUGAAAAUGCCCAUAAUCCCUAAAAAGAGAGCUGGGGCGGACAUCAGGCACCACCAAGUGAGCCCACAACGUCUUGCUACGCCACACCCCCACGGGUGAUCAGCAGUAAUAAAUAUUGAACCAUAAGUGAAAACUUGAUUCAACUAUAAUGCUACCAAGGGCUGGUUAAUUUCGUGCCAGCCACCGCGGUUAUACGAAAAGCCCGAAACAACGACUAACGGCGUAAAAUGUGACUAGAGAUAAAUAUAUCAGAAAUAUUUAAACCUGUUGUCCAGUUGUAAAAUACUCACAGAAGCAGAGGAAAGCCAACAAAAUAUUUUUAAUUAUACUCUUGAAUCCACGAAAGCUUAGAAACAAACUAGGAUUAGAUACCCUACUAUGCUAAGCACUAAACACUGAGGAAACACCAUACAACACCCUCCGCCAGAGAACUACAAAUGAAAAAUUUAAAACUCAAAGGACUUGACGGUGUCCCAUACCAACCUAGAGGAGCCUGUCCUAUAAUCGAUAACCCCCGCUUCACCUAACCUUAACUAGCAUCUUCCAGCCUAUAUACCGCCGUCAACAGCCUACCCCAUGAGGGUUUAAUAGUAAGUAAAACAGCCUAACCGCUAAUACGUCAGGUCAAGGUGUAGCAAAUGUUAAGGGAGAGAUUGGCUACAUUUUUUAUAAUAAAAAAUACAGAAAGUACCAUGAAAUAGUACAUGAAGGUGGAUUUAGUAGUAAAAUAAAUUAGAGCCUUUAUUUUAACACUGCUCUGGGACGCGUACACACCGCCCGUCACCCUCCUCAAAAACAAUAAAUACACAUACAUAAACAGAAAUUCCAUGCAGAGGAGGUAAGUCGUAACAUGGUAAGCGUACCGGAAGGUGUGCUUGGACUAA